rnacentral:rRNA from 1 species
AUUGAACGCUGGCGGCAGGCCUAACACAUGCAAGUCGAGCGGAGCGGGGGACGGGUGGGUAAUGCCUAGGAAUCAGCCUGGUAGUGGGGGAGAACGUCCGGAAGCGGACGCUAGUACCGCAUACUAGCAGAUGGGCCUAGGUCGGCUUGGCUAGUUGGUGGGGUAAAGGCCUACCAAGGCGACGAUCCGUAACUGGUCUGAGAGGAUGAUCAGUCACACUGGAACUGAGACACGGUCCAGACUCCUACGGGAGGCAGCAGUGGGGAAUAUUGGACAAUGGGCGAAAGCCUGAUCCAGCCAUGCCGCGUGUGUGAAGAAGGUCUUCGGAUUGUAAAGCACUUUAAGUUGGGAGGCGUUACCAACAGAAUAAGCACCGGCUAACUCCGUGCCAGCAGCCGCGGUAAUAC